rnacentral:rRNA from 1 species
ACGAACGCUGGCGGCGUGCCUAAUACAUGCAAGUCGAACGGUCUUUCUAUGGAAGCUUGCUUCCACUGAGAAGAUAGUGGCGAACGGGUGAGUAACACGUGGGUAACCUGCCCAUAAGAGGGGGAUAACAUCCGGAAACGGGUGCUAAUACCGCAUAGUUUUCUUGAUCGCAUGAUCGGGAAAGGAAAGACGGCCUUUGUGCUGUCGCUUAUGGAUGGACCCGCGGCGUAUUAGUUAGUUGGUGAGGUAAUGGCUCACCAAGACGAUGAUACGUAGCCGACCUGAGAGGGUGAUCGGCCACAUUGGGACUGAGACACGGCCCAAACUCCUACGGGAGGCAGCAGUAGGGAAUCUUCCGCAAUGGACGAAAGUCUGACGGAGCAACGCCGCGUGAGUGAAGAAAGGUUUUCGGAUCGUAAAACUCUGUUGUCAGAGAAGAACAAGUUGGAGAGUAACUGCUCCAGCCUUGACGGUAUCUGACCAGAAAGCCACGGCUAACUACGUGCCAGCCGCAGC